UUUCCGUAGGUGAACCUGCGGAAGGAUCAUUGCCGUAUGAAACGAAACGCGAUCGAGUUUCAGCAGCCGCGCCGCGACCCGGCGCGCGCUCGUUCUCCGAUCCGUGUCCACACACACCGAGUGCACCCUGUGAGGGACCGCGAGGUCCCCCGCGCUUUACACGUACGAACGCCUGUUUUAAACGCAUGUCGAAUCCGUGACGGAAACGUCUACGUAAACACAACUUUCAACAACGGAUCUCUUGGCUUUCGCAUCGAUGAAGAACGCAGC
rnacentral:misc_RNA from 1 species